AUUGAACGCUGCCGGCUGGCCUAACACAUGCAAGUCGACCGUGUGGCGGACGGGCGAGUAAUGUCUGGGCACCUGCCCGCUGGUCGGGGCUAACUACCGGCACCGGUAGCUAAUUCCGCAUACCAUCCGAUGUGCCCAGAUGGGAUUAGCUAGUUGGUGGGGUAACGGCUCACCAAGGCGACGAUCCCUAGCUGGUCUGAGAGGAUGACUAGCCACACUGGAACUGAGACACGGUCCAGAUUCCUACGGGAGGCAGCAGUGGGGAAUAUUGGACAAUGAGCGAAAGCCUGAUGCAGCGAGGCCGCGGGGAAGAAGAAGGCGUUCGUGUUGUAAAGGACUGGCAGCGGGGAGGCGUGAGCCGCAGAAGAAGCACCGGCUAACUCCAUGCCAGCAGCCGCGGUAAUUC
rnacentral:rRNA from 1 species